rnacentral:rRNA from 1 species
AACGCUGGCGGCAGGCUUAACACAUGCAAGUCGAGCGGAGAUGAGGUGCUUGCACCUUAUCUUAGCGGCGGACGGGUGAGUAAUGCUUAGGAAUUUGCCCUUUAGUGGGGGACAACCUUCCGAAAGGAAUGCUAAUUCCGCAUACGUCCUACGGGAGAAAGCAGGGGAUUUUUGGACCUUGCGCUAAAUGAUGAGCCUAAGUCGGAUUAGCUAGUUGGUGGGGUAAAGGCCUACCAAGGCGACGAUCUGUAGCGGGUUUGAGAGGAUGAUCCGCCCCCCUGGGACUGAGACCCGGCCCCGACUCCUUCGGGAGGCAGCCGUGGGGAAUAUUGGACAAUGGGCGGAAGCCUGAUCCAGCCCUGCCGCGUGUGUGAAGAAGGCCUUCGGGUUGUAAAGCACUUUCAGCGAGGAGGAAAGGUUGGUAGGUAAUAACUGCCCGCUGUGACGUUACUCGCAGAAGAAGCCCCGGCUAACUCCGUGCCCGCCGCCGCGGU